rnacentral:snoRNA from 1 species
AAUCAAAAAGUUUAUUAUGGAAGUAUUUGCCACGAUGAUAUAACGUAAUCUCCAAGUUAUUUCAUUGCCAUAUCUAAAAGAUACUAUUUCUCACUUCCCAGAUCAAUACAGUCCUGGAUAGGAAGUUUGUGCUUCGUUGUGUUCUAUUAGAUUAGAGCGAUGAAUUCAAAUGUCGAUGAAAGGAAACAUUA